rnacentral:tRNA from 1 species
GUGGUUUGUGUAGCUGAGUGGUAGAGCGCUUGCCUAGCAUGUGUGAGGCCUGGGUUUGAUCCUCAGAACCACA